GAUGAACGCUGGCGGCGUGCCUAAUACAUGCAAGUCGAGCGAACAGACGAGGAGCUUGCUCCUCUGACGUUAGCGGCGGACGGGUGAGUAACACGUGGAUAACCUACCUAUAAGACUGGGAUAACUUCGGGAAACCGGAGCUAAUACCGGAUAAUAUAUUGAACCGCAUGGUUCAAUAGUGAAAGACGGUUUUGCUGUCACUUAUAGAUGGAUCCGCGCCGCAUUAGCUAGUUGGUAAGGUAACGGCUUACCAAGGCAACGAUGCGUAGCCGACCUGAGAGGGUGAUAGGCCGCACGGGAACUGAGACACGGUCCAGACGCCUACGGGAGGCAGCAGUAGGGAAUCUGCCGCAAUGGGCGAGAGCCUUACGGAGCAGCGCCGCGUGAGUGAUGAAGGUCUUCGGAUCGUAAAACUCUGUUAUUAGGGAAGAACAAAUGUGUAAGUAACUAUGCACGUCUUGACGGUACCUAGUCAGAAAGCCACGGCUAACUACGUG
rnacentral:rRNA from 1 species